rnacentral:tmRNA from 1 species
GGGGGCGAACUGGUUUCGACGGAGGUAAUGAGACACAGGUUGCACGCCGAGGUCCCACCCACCUCGCUAAACUGGUGGAAACAACCUAACUGCAGAACCUUUAGCAGUCGCGGCCUAAU